UACGUAGGGGGCUAGCGUUAUCCGGAAUUACUGGGCGUAAAGGGUGCGUAGGUGGUUUCUUAAGUCAGAGGUGAAAGGCUACGGCUCAACCGUAGUAAGCCUUUGAAACUGAGAAACUUGAGUGCAGGAGAGGAGAGUAGAAUUCCUAGUGUAGCGGUGAAAUGCGUAGAUAUUAGGAGGAACACCGGUGGCGAAGGCGGCUUUCUGGACUGUAACUGACACUGAGGCACGAAAGCGUGGGGAGCAAACAGGAUUAGAUACCCGGGUAGUCCCUGAGCGGGCUGG
rnacentral:rRNA from 1 species